GUUCUAUACUGAAGCUUGAAAAUCCAAAGCAAGAAGGAGAUAGUUUGUAGAAAGUAGGAAAACAUUUAUUUGUGAGGUGAGCAAUAAUGAGGUCGAGUGAUAGAUAGUGCGCGAGGGGCCAGGGUCUCUCUCUUUCCCUUCCCCAUCACAUUUUCCCUUCUCCAUAACUCUUUCCCUUCUCUUCUUCCUACAUUCUCACCCUCGGAGUGCCCUCAUGCCGCAGUGAUGCGUGCGAUGAUGAGCCGUACGGAGGAACAGAGUUGAUCCUGUUGACCGUUUUACAAAUUAGCUCAAGUUUUUCGAGCUGUGAACACGAAAAAAGGCUGCUGUCACCUUAUCUUCCACGAAAAAGAAAAAUAAGAAGAAGCCUGUUUUCCAGAAGACUCGAACAAUCAACGCUUUCAAAAUUCUUGGACGUUUAGGAAGGAUAACAUGACGCGUCGGUGCUUUCUAUCUUGUACGUCGAUCGCUCGAUGGAACAAACCUCUCCCAUGACGUAUGUACGGUGUUUGUGAGCCGGGAUAUAAAGCGUGUAAAACGUAUUAACGCAAUUAUGGAUAUGACCAUGGGGGAACCACAGAGUAUAGGAACACGUUGGGUUUGUCCAAACGAUCGACACUUGGCGUUAAGAGCUAAAUUACGAACAGGUUGGUCAGUAAAGACAGGAUACUUGGACUCAGGAUGGAACAAUUAUUCAAACGUUGGUGGUAACAACCGUGCCAACCAAUCUUUCGUAUUGACGGAAGAAGAACGACGUACAAUUAUACAAGUGAUUCAAAGAGCGGAGGCGUUAGAUUUAUCGGAGCAGAAACGCAUCGGCAGGCUGGUUGAGAGAUUGGAGGACAUGAAGCGCAACGUUCGCAUAAUCACUUCCAGCCGAUCGGACGAACGAAGAAAUUGUGGUAACCGAUGUUCCGGUGGUUCGCGUUGUGUCUGCUCUUGUGCCCUAUGCGGCGAAAAAUUCGGUGCAGUUUUAGGGGCCACCCCAACGUUCUGCAAAGAUUGUAGGAAAUACGUUUGCCAAAAAUGUGGUAAAGAGGCAAAUACGCCUAAUGUAUUAGCUCUCACCACCAAUACCGAAGUUAUAUCUGCAACUACAUGUAACACGUUAGCGAAUGAGACUCUACCAAAAAGAACUGCAAUACAACGAAUCGUACAGAGGACGUCGAAUAAUCCACAAAAGAUAUUUCUUUGUCGUAUUUGUAUUGAGAGCAGGGAGAUUUGGAAAAAGAGUGGAGCUUGGUUCUUUAAAGGAAUGCCGAAGCAUGACCUUCCGAAGAAAAAAGAACGUGAUUGGUCCCGGGCGGGUCAAAGGACACAGAAUUCGUCUUGUAAAAUCAUCAGUGCUUGCAAAUCUUUGGAAUCUAACGAAGUUCAGGAUUCCUCAUCGGAAGAGGAGGCUGCUCGACGUUUAAUCGGCCCAAAUAACUGUUGUUCCUCUUCUUCUCCGAGUUUGCAAGGUAUCCAAGAUAUCAAUGAUUUGUCCAAACAGCAACAACAACAGAUCACUCCUUACGAUACUCAGACGGCAAGUGGCUCUUUCAAAAUGAAAUCUCGAUCGAAUAAUCGAUCGUCACCUACAGGCCAUCGAGAUGAGAGUCCUUCGACAACAACAAUGGAUAGGUUGGACAAAUCUUCGACAUUUUCAAUCUAUUCGCAGUGCAGUCGUUUAUCGUCAUCCACAUCAGCAGCAACUCUACGUAACGCGUCUCGUACGAAUGAAAAAAGUACAUGUGAUUUAAGAGCCGAUCAACGUGGUGGAGACAAUUCCAUUGAUGACAAUGCGCCAAUCGAGGAGAUCAAAUUAGAAAAUGAGGGUGACGAACAGGCUAACUACCUCGAAGAUUCUCGCGGUUCUGUCGAUCGGUGUAAGGAUUCUCAGGUACAAUCAGUCAGGUACACGGAAUUCGCCGUCGACCAUAACACCGAGCACUCUGAUGGAACGAAUUCUGGAAGAGGCUUGGAUGCACGAAAGAAAUGCCGAAUGCGAGGCGAAUGCCUCCUCAAAUCGGACGAACGAUCAACAAACUAUCAGCACAUGGUACGUGCAUCACUCGGACUCACCAAGGAAGCAAACGUCGAAUUACAUCGAAAUGAGGAGGUCAGAAACGGAGGAAAGCUUUGGGACUCUGGAAAUCUCCUUGCUAUACGACCCAGUGGCUCAGUGCCUCCAGUGCAAAGUGGAACGAGCAUUGGGAUUAAAGCCUAUGGACAUCCACGACCUCGCCGAUCCAUUUUGCAAAAUCACCAUACUGCCGAUGGGAAUGGGCACAAAUAUCAAGCCAAUAAGAACGAAAACUGUUCACAAGACACGAGAUCCAGUGUUCAACGAGACGGUGAACUUCUACGUUUCGAGAGAUGCCGAUAUGAAGAGUGGCAGAGCCUUACAUGUCAUGAUACUUCAAGACGACCCCUGGGGAGAAGACUUUCUAGGGGAGGCGAGGUUUCCCCUGUACGAACUAGAACCGUUCCAGACGAAGCACUACAAAAUCAACCUCCAAAACCAUUAUCCGGUGAGUCACGAAGAAGAGGCUUGGGAUCUUCAUCGAGGCAACCGAGGUCAAAUACAACUAACUCUGAGCUACUGUACCCGUCGACGAGCCCUACUGGUUAUUAUUCAUCAAGCUAUGAAUCUUUUGCCCAUGGACAACAACGGGUUUUCUGACCCAUUUGUGAAGCUAUGCCUUGUAGAGAAUGUGAUCGAGAAUCGACAGCAACGAGGUCACGAUCCUCCCGGACGUACCAACACGAAGAAAUAUCUCAGCAAGAAACUGGCCGUAGGUCGCAGCUCGUACAGCACGAGCGUCAAAUGGAAAACUCUCAACCCAGAGUGGAACGAAGAGUUCGUUUUUGGGAUUCGAUUAACAGACCUCAUGAAAGUCACGUUAUGCCUCUCUAUGUGGGACAAGGAUUUCGGCAAGAGUAAUGAUUAUCUUGGAGGACUUGCAUUAGGAUGCAAUAGCAAAGGAGCACGAUUACGACAUUGGAUAGAUGUCAUCAAAUUUCCCGAUUAUCGUCAUCCCGCUUGGCACAAUUUAACAGAAGUUCUUAUGCCAAUAGAGUAAUAUUUUUCAGUGGCACAAUUCAUAUGGAACUCUGUAGAAAAGUUGAAAAUACCGAUCUCAACGUUGACGCGUUAAAGAGGCAAUAAAAGGUUUGAGUCACAUUGAAAGGUAUUGCCUAAGGAACCAACGUCUAUAUUGCAUAUUACAAAGUAUUUUGAAAAUAAGUAUAAUAAAGAUAAUUAUAGUUAGUUUACCGAA